rnacentral:rRNA from 1 species
GUCCCGCCUGCCCUGUGAUAAUUAUUUAACGGCCGCGGUAUUUUGACCGUGCAAAGGUAGCGCAAUCACUUGUCUUUUAAAUGAAGACCUGUAUGAAUGGCUUGACGAGGGCUUAACUGUCUCCUUUUUCCAGUCAAUGAAAUUGAUCUUCCCGUGCAGAAGCGGGAAUAUAACCAUAAGACGAGAAGACCCUAUGGAGCUUUAAACUAAAGCAGAUCUUGUUAAACGCAUCUAAUUAAAGAAAUAAACUUAAAAGAACCCUGUCAUUUAUGUUUUUGGUUGGGGCGACCAUGGGGAAACAAACAACCCCCAUGUGGACUGAGAAAACAGUUCUCACAACAAAGAGCCACAGCUCUAAUUAACAGAACUUCUGACCUUNGAGAUCCGGCAAUGCCGAUCAACGGACCCAGUUACCCUAGGGAUAACAGCGCAAUCCCCUUUUAGAGUUCAUAUCGACAAGGGGGUUUACGACCUCGAUGUUGGAUCAGGACAUCCUAAUGGUGCAGCAGCUAUUAAGGG